GGAUGUGAGGGCAAUCUGGCUGAGACAUCUGUUACCCCAUUGAUCGCCAGGGAUUGAUUCGGCUGAUCUGGCUGGCUAGGCGGGUUGUCCCCUUCCUCCCUCACCAGGCCAUGUGUGUCCCUCCCGACGCUCUGUGCUCUGUGGAAGAGGACAACCUUCCCCGAUAGAAGAGAGGACCAUUCUUUGGUCAAGGAUAUACAAGUGGCUGCGCUCCCCUGCUAGAACCUCCAAACGAGCUCUCAAGAAAAGAUUUUACAAUCUGAUUAUUAAAAUAUAGAUUGUCAGCAUAUCAGUUUUUUUAAAUGACUUUUUUU
rnacentral:snRNA from 1 species